rnacentral:lncRNA from 1 species
AAUUCACAGUGACAACAGUGGAAGACUUUAUUCACAUAUACAGAGUAGAAGAUGGUAUGAGGGAAAUUCUGCAAAUCAGAAAUUCUUUUACCAACAAUUAAAAAUGAAAGAAGUCUGAAAUCCUUUGCAUCUCUGGUAAAAGUCUCAUGGAAGAAGGUUAAAAAGCAUGGAGAUCUCACUGUGGACACACACCAAUAAACAAAGAAAACAGCUUCUCCCGCUACUCUCUCCCCCUGCUCCCCAUCUGAAAAAAAAAAAAUCUAGAUGACCUCUGCUUCCCCCCUGGAAUGGGAAACACCCUGCUGGUAUCAGUUGGUGUGGAAGGAAGAACGACCAACUGGGACACAGCCUCAUUUCCAUGUGCUUGUAGGGCAAGAUCUAGACACAAACAAGAAAUAUAGAGGGAUUUUUUUUUAAAUUCUUCUAAUAUCUCCACGAGAUGUUUUGGUUUGCCUUUUUCCUUUAGAUUUACAGCUGCUUAUAGGAAUACUAACAUCUUACAAAAGGCAUUAGCGUACAUAACAGACUCUGUCCAUCUCACAAGAAGAUAAAAUAAAGAACUGGCCUCUAUCAGAUGGGAACAAAAAAGACAUAUGAUGCUUAAUAAAGAUAAAACUCUUACUUUAUAAUGAAACACAUAUCUGUGCUUCAUGUGCAAGUUGAUCAUGCAAACUGACCAACAUAAUCGGCAAUCACGUGUUACAGUAUGGGAUGGUUUCAUUUUAUUAGACAUCUGGAAAAAAAAAAUCAAGCAUGGAGUGCCACAGAAAGGCCCUGCACUGAUAUUUCAUCUCUGAAGUCUUGGAGUCAAAUGUUAGGAGAGCCGUUUGGCGGACCUCAAGCGCGCAAUGGCAUGAAGACACAGUGGAUGAGCGGGCAGCGCGACGCAAGCGUAAAGCCAGGAGUGCGCCAACAUGACCGUGUCGACACAGCAGAGAGCAUGGGUAGUACAUGCUUUAUUUCCUCAUGCUUAGAAUAGGAGGUAAACAUGGCAUCAAAUGAGCUGCAGGCUGCUAACUAGGGGAAAGGUGAGUUUGUGUAGCCAUUCUAUAAAUAACCGUAUUUUAAAAGGCAAGAUUAUGCCAAGGCGGAUAUUGUGAAGAAACAGAAUAGAAAAUGGCAUUUUUUUAACAGAUAACACAUAUUUGCUACAAAAUGGGACUGUAACGUGUUCCCUAGCGUGACUACCUGGGGUGUAUGUGAUUUUUUGGUACUUAGGUCAGUGAAUCUGUCCUUUAAAGGAAGCUCUGUAAGUGAUCUAGUCUGUGCUUGUGCUGGAGAAACAACCCACUCCAAAAGAAAAAGAUCAAUGGUCAGGAUACACCUUUGUUAAAAUAUUUAACAUUUGUUAAAAUGUUCAACAUCUUGGUUUAGAUCCAAGAUAGAUAAGGUGAAAAAACCACUCUUCUUUUGGUGUCUUCACUGUCGUAAGACAUACAUUUUGGACUCUCUUUCAUGUAGAAAGUGGCCCUUUCAAAUCAGUUGACGUUAGGUUAGCCUGCCACAGAGCAGGAUGAAGCCUUAUUUAUUCAAAACAUCCACUGUCAGUGAGGACAACUGGUUCACAGAGCUGAGACAUAUGACCUUCUACAAUUUCCUCUGACAUUCAUGGUGUAGAAGGUUUCCUGGGGUAAACAAUGGUUUAUAAAUGUAGUUGUUUAAAUAAGUUCUUCUCCUACAAGUAAUCCAGGUAGUCUUUUGCCAGUUAUUUCUGUCUGGAAUGAUAGCAGGUGUCUUCUCUUUGUUCAGAGUUAAUCUUUUGAAAAUAUUCCUUAAUAAUACCUGUUUCAGGACGUUGCACUUCACU